UUAAGCGACUAAGCGUACACGGUGGAUGCCCUGGCAGUCAGAGGCGAUGAAGGACGUGCUAAUCUGCGAAAAGCGUCGGUAAGGUGAUAUGAACCGUUAUAACCGGCGAUGUCCGAAUGGGGAAACCCAGUGCAAUUCGUUGCACUAUCGUUAACUGAAUACAUAGGUUAACGAGGCGAACCGGGGGAACUGAAACAUCUAAGUACCCCGAGGAAAAGAAAUCAACCGAGAUUCCCCCAGUAGCGGUGAGCGAACGGGGAGCAGCCCAGAGUCUGAAUCAGCUUGUGUGUUAGUGGAACGGUCUGGAAAGUCCGACGGUACAGGGUGAUAGUCCCGUACACCAAAAUGCACAGGUUGUGAACUCGAAGAGUAGGGCGGGACACGUGGUAUCCUGUCUGAAUAUGGGGGGACCAUCCUCCAAGGCUAAAUACUCCUGACUGACCGAUAGUGAACCAGUACCGUGAGGGAAAGGCGAAAAGAACCCCGGCGAGGGGAGUGAAAAAGAACCUGAAACCGUGUACGUACAAGCAGUGGGAGCACCUUCGGGUGUGACUGCGUACCUUUUGUAUAAUGGGUCAGCGACUUAUAUUCUGUAGCAAGGUUAACCGUAUAGGGGAGCCGCAGGGAAACCGAGUCUUAACUGGGCGUUAAGUUGCAGGGUAUAGACCCGAAACCCGGUGAUCUAGCCAUGGGCAGGUUGAAGGUUGGGUAACACUAACUGGAGGACCGAACCGACUAAUGUUGAAAAAUUAGCGGAUGACUUGUGGCUGGGGGUGAAAGGCCAAUCAAACCGGGAGAUAGCUGGUUCUCCCCGAAAGCUAUUUAGGUAGCGCCUCGUGAACUCAUCUUCGGGGGUAGAGCACUGUUUCGGCUAGGGGGUCAUCCCGACUUACCAACCCGAUGCAAACUACGAAUACCGAAGAAUGUUAUCACGGGAGACACACGGCGGGUGCUAACGUCCGUCGUGAAGAGGGAAACAACCCAGACCGCCAGCUAAGGUCCCAAAGUCAUGGUUAAGUGGGAAACGAUGUGGGAAGGCACAGACAGCCAGGAUGUUGGCUUAGAAGCAGCCAUCAUUUAAAGAAAGCGUAAUAGCUCACUGGUCGAGUCGGCCUGCGCGGAAGAUGUAACGGGGCUAAACCAUGCACCGAAGCUGCGGCAGCGACACUAUGUGUUGUUGGGUAGGGGAGCGUUCUGUAAGCCUGCGAAGGUGACCUGUGAGGGUUGCUGGAGGUAUCAGAAGUGCGAAUGCUGACAUAAGUAACGAUAAAGCGGGUGAAAAGCCCGCUCGCCGGAAGACCAAGGGUUCCUGUCCAACGUUAAUCGGGGCAGGGUGAGUCGACCCCUAAGGCGAGGCCGAAAGGCGUAGUCGAUGGGAAACAGGUUAAUAUUCCUGUACUUGGUGUUACUGCGAAGGGGGGACGGAGAAGGCUAUGUUAGCCGGGCGACGGUUGUCCCGGUUUAAGCAUGUAGGCUGGUUGUCCAGGCAAAUCCGGAUAAUCAAGGCUGAGGUGUGAUGACGAGGCACUACGGUGCUGAAGUAACAAAUGCCCUGCUUCCAGGAAAAGCCUCUAAGCAUCAGGUAACAUUAAAUCGUACCCCAAACCGACACAGGUGGUCAGGUAGAGAAUACCAAGGCGCUUGAGAGAACUCGGGUGAAGGAACUAGGCAAAAUGGUGCCGUAACUUCGGGAGAAGGCACGCUGGUGUGUAGGUGAAGCCCCUGCGGGUGGAGCUGAGACCAGUCGAAGAUACCAGCUGGCUGCAACUGUUUAUUAAAAACACAGCACUGUGCAAACACGAAAGUGGACGUAUACGGUGUGACGCCUGCCCGGUGCCGGAAGGUUAAUUGAUGGGGUUAUCCGUAAGGAGAAGCUCUUGAUCGAAGCCCCGGUAAACGGCGGCCGUAACUAUAACGGUCCUAAGGUAGCGAAAUUCCUUGUCGGGUAAGUUCCGACCUGCACGAAUGGCGUAAUGAUGGCCAGGCUGUCUCCACCCGAGACUCAGUGAAAUUGAACUCGCUGUGAAGAUGCAGUGUACCCGCGGCAAGACGGAAAGACCCCGUGAACCUUUACUAUAGCUUGACACUGAACAUUGAGCCUUGAUGUGUAGGAUAGGUGGGAGGCUUUGAAGCGUGGACGCCAGUCUGCGUGGAGCCAACCUUGAAAUACCACCCUUUAAUGUUUGAUGUUCUAACGUUGGCCCCUUACCGGGGUUGCGGACAGUGUCUGGUGGGUAGUUUGACUGGGGCGGUCUCCUCCCAAAGCGUAACGGAGGAGCACGAAGGUUAGCUAAUCCUGGUCGGACAUCAGGAGGUUAGUGCAAUGGCAUAAGCUAGCUUGACUGCGAGCGUGACGGCGCGAGCAGGUGCGAAAGCAGGUCAUAGUGAUCCGGUGGUUCUGAAUGGAAGGGCCAUCGCUCAACGGAUAAAAGGUACUCCGGGGAUAACAGGCUGAUACCGCCCAAGAGUUCAUAUCGACGGCGGUGUUUGGCACCUCGAUGUCGGCUCAUCACAUCCUGGGGCUGAAGUAGGUCCCAAGGGUAUGGCUGUUCGCCAUUUAAAGUGGUACGCGAGCUGGGUUUAGAACGUCGUGAGACAGUUCGGUCCCUAUCUGCCGUGGGCGCUGGAGAAUUGAGGGGGGCUGCUCCUAGUACGAGAGGACCGGAGUGGACGCAUCACUGGUGUUCGGGUUGUCAUGCCAAUGGCACUGCCCGGUAGCUAAAUGCGGAAGAGAUAAGUGCUGAAAGCAUCUAAGCACGAAACUUGCCCCGAGAUGAGUUCUCCCUGAGACUUUAAGUCUCCUGAAGGAACGUUGAAGACGACGACGUUGAUAGGCCGGGUGUGUAAGCGCAGCGAUGCGUUGAGCUAACCGGUACUAAUGAACCGUGAGGCUUAACCUU
rnacentral:rRNA from 1 species